GACGAGCGCUGGCGGCGUGCCUAAUACAUGCAAGUUGAGCGCUGAAGGUUGGUACUUGUACCAACUGGAUGAGCAGCGAACGGGUGAGUAACGCGUGGGGAAUCUGCCUUUGAGCGGGGGACAACAUUUGGAAACGAAUGCUAAUACCGCAUAAAAACUUUAAACACAAGUUUUAAGUUUGAAAGAUGCAAUUGCAUCACUCAAAGAUGACCCCGCGUUGUAUUAGCUAGUUGGUGAGGUAAAGGCUCACCAAGGCGAUGAUACAUAGCCGACCUGAGAGGGUGAUCGGCCACAUUGGGACUGAGACACGGCCCAAACUCCUACGGGAGGCAGCAGUAGGGAAUCUUCGGCAAUGGACGAAAGUCUGACCGAGCAACGCCGCGUGAGUGAAGAAGGUUUUCGGAUCGUAAAACUCUGUUGGUAGAGAAGAACGUUGGUGAGAGUGGAAAGCUCAUCAAGUGACGGUAACUACCCAGAAAGGGACGGCUAACUACGUG
rnacentral:rRNA from 1 species